rnacentral:rRNA from 1 species
UACGUAGGGGGCAAGCGUUGUCCGGAUUUAUUGGGCGUAAAGAGCGUGUAGGCGGCCAGGUAGGUCAGCUGUGAAAACUCGAGGCUCAACCUCGAGACGCCGGUUGAAACCAUCUGGCUAGAGUCCGGAAGAGGAGAGUGGAAUUCCUGGUGUAGCGGUGAAAUGCGCAGAUAUCAGGAGGAACACCGGUGGCGAAGGCGGCGACCUGGGUCGAUACUGACGCUGAGGUGCGAAAGCGUGGGGAGCAAACAGG